AGAGCGAACGCUGGCGGCAGGCUUAACACAUGCAAGUCGAACGGGUCCUUCGGGGCUAGUGGCGGACGGGUGAGUAACACGUGGGAACGUGCCUUUAGGUUCGGAACAACACAGGGAAACUUGUGCUAAUACCGGAUGUGCCCUUUGGGGAAAGAUUUAUCGCCUUUAGAGCGGCCCGCGUCUGAUUAGCUAGUUGGUGAGGUAACUGCUCACCAAGGCGACGAUCAGUAGCU
rnacentral:rRNA from 1 species